GACCUAUUGUUAUGGGAGUAGUUACUACUGAGUUUUCGGAUAUGGCAACACUGAUGUGAAUAUGUCAUAUCUGACAUUGACAUAAUGAAGUUUUACAUUUUUUAACGUUUUUCUCGUUUAUGUUGAUAUUGAGGACGUUCAACUUGUCACAAAAAAAAAAUAUUAUAUUACGAUGUUGAUUGAAAAUACGUUUAUUUUCGUUAAUAAUGUUUUCGAAUGAAUCCGGUCCUGUUUUCUAUAGGUAUAAGUAAACCGGUUUUAUUUUUUCGUUAAACGUGUUUCAUAAAAUAUAUUUUUAGAUUACAACAAA